rnacentral:rRNA from 1 species
UACGGAGGGUGCGAGCGUUAAUCGGAAUUACUGGGCGUAAAGCGUGCGCAGGCGGUUCGUUGUGUCGGUGGUGAAAUCCCCGGGCUUAACCUGGGAAUGGCCAUGGAAACUGGCGAACUGGAGUGCGGGAGAGGGGGGUGGAAUUCCGCGUGUAGCAGUGAAAUGCGUAGAGAUGCGGAGGAACACCGAUGGCGAAGGCAGCCCCCUGGGCUAGCACUGACGCUCAGGCACGAAAGCGUGGGGAGCAAACAGG